AUGGGAGGGAGCUGGAUCCUCUUCCUAUUGGCAGCAUCUACAGGGGUCCACUCCCAGGUCCAGCUGCAGCAGUCUGGGUCUGAGCUGGUGAGGCUUGGGUCCUCAGUGAAGCUGUCCUGCAAGGCUUCUGGAUACACCUUCACCAGCUACUAUAUAUGCUGGAUGAAGCAGAGUCCAGGACAGGGGCUGGAGUGGAUUGGAUAUAUUUAUGGAAAUAGUGGUACUGGCUAUAACCAGAAGUUUCAGGACAAGACUACACUGACUGCAGACUCAUCCUCCAGCACAGCCUUCAUGACACUCAGCAGCCUGACAGCUGAGGACUCUGCGGUCUAUUACUGUGCAAGACAGGCACACAUUGCUGCAAUUUAUUAUUAUUAUUAUUUUGCUCAAGGUCCCAAAUGA